AUGCAGUCGAACGGUGAUGAGGAGCUUGCUUCUUUGAUCAGUGGCGAACGGGUGAGUAACACGUGAGCAAUCUGCCCUUGACUCUGGGAUAACUGCGGGAAACUGUAGCUAAUACCGGAUACGACCUUCGGAGGCAUCUCUGGGGGUGGAAAGAAUUUUGGUCAAGGAUGAGCUCGCGGCCUAUCAGCUAGUUGGUGAGGUAAUGGCUCACCAAGGCGACGACGGGUAGCCGGCCUGAGAGGGUGACCGGCCACACUGGGACUGAGACACGGCCCAGACUCCUACGGGAGGCAGCAGUGGGGAAUAUUGCACAAUGGGCGCAAGCCUGAUGCAGCAACGCCGCGUGAGGGACGAAGGCCUUCGGGUUGUAAACCUCUUUUAGUAGGGAAGAAGUGACUGGGUUUUCCUGGAAGUGACGGUACCUGCAGAAAAAGCACCGGCUAACUACGUGCCAGCAGCCGCGGUAAUACGUAGGGUGCAAGCGUUGUCCGGAAUUAUUGGGCGUAAAGAGCUCGUAGGCGGUUUGUUGCGUCUGCUGUGAAAACCCGAGGCUCAACCUCGGGCCUGCAGUGGGUACGGGCAGACUAGAGUGCGGUAGGGGAGAUUGGAAUUCCUGGUGUAGCGGUGGAAUGCGCAGAUAUCAGGAGGAACACCAAUGGCGAAGGCAGAUCUCUGGGCCGUAACUGACGCUGAGGAGCGAAAGCAUGGGGAGCGA
rnacentral:rRNA from 1 species